AAACGUUUUCUGUGUGAACGUCAAUGAUUUCUUUCUGCCAUUGACCGACAUAUUUCGGCUUGUUUUUCCAGGCCCUCGGCUGUCAGGAGACAGGGCUGGGGGGG